GGUGCUAAAGAACCAACCAGGAACCGCAUGCACAUCCUGAAAUAAAGGAAAAAUGAAACAAGAGUGCCCAAGUCUUGAGUCACAGGAGAUAGCCCAUCUCUUUGUCAGUCGAGGAAACGGACAGCGAGCUGGCAGAUAAAGGCCCCUUGCAGUGAAUGCCUCAGAUUUCACAAGCUCGCGUUACGAUACUUGCGCACAAUAUGCGUCUGGUAGAAGCUAGGUCCGCAUCCGUAUUUUGUGCAAUGAAUGGCCAAUUUAGUGCCGGCUUUAGAGGUGUGCGAAUAUUAAAACGUUCAAAUAAUGAAUCGAAUAGUGUCCUGUUCGAUUCGGUCUUCAAAUCAGAUAGUCACUAUUAGAAAUAUGAAUACAUUUUUUAAAUUGUUUUUGAAUCUUGUGAAGGUGCCCACUGCACCCAGUUAAACAUAAAAUUGCGGCGAAAGUACGAUAAUUUUCGUAUAGGCGUACAACAUGAGAACUUGCGUAUUAGACGAAGCUGCGUUGCUCAGGGAGCCAGAUUUCACCAGCAUUACUACAAUCAUUGGCACUCUCCGAGGAGCCCUGUGUACGUGGACACACUGCUUAUUUAUUCCUAAUGCAUCAUUUGGGCUUUUAAUAAGCAACGCUCCAAUGUUUAAUGCAACGACAAACUUUGUGGCGUUAUGAAUACCAGGAUGUUAAAAUUGCUUUAUAAUAAUUGUGACAAUCACUGUUCAUUGUUUAAAAGCUAUUGGAAAAGCAUUCAAUUUCCUUCUGCCACUAUUCGAUUUGGUCUCAAAAAUGGCUAUUGGCACACUAUUUCAUGUUUUUAACUACAAUUUUUCUCUCGUGAAGCCGUACCAACAAGCUCAAGUUCAGACCGUGUUGCAGUACAUUAGUGUGUAUUUUCUUUCUUCCCAAAAUUUAUAAGGAUUGGGCCUGGAGCAAGUGCAAGUUGGCUCGCCAUUCGCUGAUCUGGAGGAACGUGGUUUUUCUGUGGAUGUCAACAGUGCUGCAGCUGAAAGGUUUUUCGAAACAGAUGACCUGCCGGCCUCCACACAGAUGCCUCAGCCAGCAGGGGCCCUGCGGUACCAGUGCAGCUACUGCCCAUACGCGACACGGCAGAGGGCCAGUCUGGUGGUUCACGAGCGAGUGCACACAGGCGAGCGGCCCUUUCGGUGCCACGUGUGCAACCGCGGGUUCGCGCAUCGCUCUCACGUGGCGCGCCACAUGCGCACGCACACUGGAGAGCGGCCCUACUCAUGCCCGCUCUGCCCAGCCGCCUUCGCACAGCGCAGCGAUGUCAAGGUGCACAUGCGCACGCACAAUCCGCACGGGGGUGGACGCAGGCGCCAGGCCCGGCCGGCCAACAUCAGCAGUAUGGUGCUAUGAUAGACGGCCGCCCGUUAGGCUGUGACUGCAAGUGUCGUCAGAACCAUACUCGCCAAUUGAGACCAGAGGUGUCUUUUUCAUUUUGUUAUUCAUCUUCCAUUGACACAGCUUGUUUUGUUACCCACAGAAGACUGCACAUAUUAAGGGUGGAGAGCUUCCUACUAAAUUUACUUAAGAGAAAUCUUGUGCUAUGAGGGGAAUAUUGUAAAUAAAGGCAGUGUUUUGCUAUU